rnacentral:ncRNA from 1 species
UAAAAAGCAAUGAAAAAGACGAGUAAAUAACCUAUUUCUUUUCAGUGAAUUAGCGUUAGUGCGAAGCUAAUAGACCCUGGGUUAUUGAACAACACUUUUAGCAGCUCACCGAACUAACAAUUCUUAUAGUAGGUUGAGACGUCUCCGGUACGUUACCACGCCGGUGGAGCAUGAUAGUGCUUCAUGAGUAGGUCUAGAUCUAGACAAUAUGGGUGGUACCGCGGAAAAGAGCCUUUCGUCCCUGGC